CAAGAUUACUCACGCAACUAGCUGGACACAUCAGAGGUUAUACAGACUAGCAAACCCAGAGCACACAUGGAAUUUGAUGCCAUGAAUACUUGCUACAGAUUUUUUUUUGGAAUACAGAGAGAAAGAACGGUCGUUGCACGACCGACCUAAACACAAACAACCUUCCUAAUGACUCGUGCCAUCCCACGAAUCAGAUCCUGGGUCCAGGAUCUACAGCUCCACUAUUAUCGCCUGUGAUCCGAUGUGCCAUGCCAUCCCAUGACUCGGUUCACGACGCGGUAGAAACGGGAGCGACCCCAACCUGACACAUGGACUCGAUGCAUGGACUCGACGCAAACAUGCUUGCCGUCGAGACCGACUCUCAGUGCGUACCAUCUGCUCGCAGGCAGGUCUAUGACACGUUAUUUGGAACAAACAGACUGAAGGGAAAAAACCUAGGGCAUUCACUUAGUUUACAUCAAUGGAUCAGCCCUCAAUCCACAAACCCACAUGGCGAAGUUGACUUAGUGAAUCUCGUCAUUCUCUGAGUCGGAUAAGUGGUUGUCAACCUGCUCGUCCCAAGCCUGCCAUGCCGUCAACCCCAAACACUACAUCGAGAUCCAUUACAUUACAUCAUGACCAGGUGGAAAAAACUGAAAUCUUGGAAAAAUUGAAAGGAGAUCGAGUUCAUACCCUCCUCAUCUGGGCACGGCGGUUCUUGAACCAUAAUUUGAUCUGCUGGGGCUGCACGCCAAGUUCGCGGCCGUGAUGGGCGCGCUGGGUCUCAUCAGGGUUGGGGCACACCUUGAAAGUCCUGCAGUUUUCAAAAAACGAAAAAGAAAACCUUGAAUACCCUGUACAUGGAUCACCAUGAAAAUAUGACACGAGAAAUAAGCCAUACGAAAUGGUGCUUGAUCAACCUCUCGAGGAUCUGAAUCUGGUUGUCACUUAGAUCCAUUGUUACCAAUUUCUUGCUUGCUCGCUCACUCUCCCAGGCUGCCUAGAGGAACAGGAAGUGGAGGCAGGAAGAUAUCUUCGUUCUGGAUGCUAUCUGACAUCUGGUUUGCUCCUAUUUAUACAUGAGAGGGUGCUGUUUCUCCUCUGUCACAGUGCUGGCGCAACGUCUGUGUGACCUCUGGCUUGGUGCUGGCAGUCUCCUGGCCGGUCUCUCUUAAUGCCUCCUAGUAUUUGGCUUCUUCCACCCUAUAAUGCAGACCGUCCUUCCCUGUAUUGCUCGGGAGCGCCAGCAGCAGAAACGUUGGCUUUGACUUCUGACAACCUCGGCGGGCUCGCUGGGUGGUCUUGUUGGUUUCUCUUUAUGCCUCUCAGCGCCAGCAGUAGCGUGGUAGUACUAGUAAGUGAUGCAUUGUCAGAAGCGUAUCAACAAAUUCAUUUUAUCGGAAGUACUAUUGGGUUUAUUGACCUCCGAUAUAAGAACCAGUGCUUUCCGAUUUAAACCAUAUAAUCUAUAGUUUUAUUUAGCAGAAUUUGCUAAUAAACUUCAAAUCAAACAACUUAAGAGUUUAUGGACCUGCUUCUGUACGUGUCCUACUGGGUUUGGGCCAAGAUAUCAGAGUGACCUGAAAAUGGCCUGUGACAUGUCUUGAGUUCUUAAUAUUUUUUCCUCCCACAAUUAACAUUGUUCCUCUUGUAGAAAGGGAGAUAAUUAAUCCUGAAGUUACAUCCAUGUAUGGCCUGUAACCAUUAUAAUAAAUUCUGCAAUAUUUUAGGAUGCAAUUGAUAGGCAUUAAUUUCCAGCCUCUUAUGUAUGGAUAUCAAAUUAAUGAAGUCAUAGUACAGGUGGGUCGUUAUCCUCUAAACCAUAAUAUGGGAUCAUAUUCGAUGUAAGAAAACUAGCACAUAACAAUGACCGACCUAUUAUUGCAAGCACUAUCAUGUAUCUGCAGGCUAGAUAUGGCAAUAUGUUUCCUUCAGUGCACCAUUGCACUCCUUUUACAAUGGACUUUCUUUUACGAUAUAUGUUCAUCACUUCAUCUACAUGGGAGAUUUUAUUUAGUCUUUUUUUAUUAAACAUGAAACAACACAACAUCAAGACCUUGAUCCACAAUUCUUGUUGCAUGGUAUAUAUUUCACUCGGAUGAAAGUUGUGAAGUAACAUGCCUUUUUCCAAAAGAUUGUUUCCCGUCAUUUGUUCCAAACAUACGAUACAUCCUUCGGCCAUAAAGCUACAACAACUACUACUAGGGAUAACCCUAGCAGUCGUGCUUGUUUUAUAGCUAUCAGUAGCGCUUGUACAAGCGCUACCAGUAAGGCGCUACAACUAACAGGUAGCAGUAGCGCUGGUUUUCUAGCGCUACUGCUAUACCUAGUUAGCAGUAGCGCUCGGUAGGGAAAAGCGCUACUGAUAAUAAUAAGUAGCAGUAGUGUUUCUCUAGAAAAGCGCUACUGCUAAAUUUUCCUGUAUUUUUGAAAAUGCAGCUUAUUGUCGCUGAACUUGUAUAGGUUUUAUAUACAGUACUUUCAUCAUAUGAUUUUAUGACCUUGAUUAGUUAUUAUAUAUAACAGUGGGUGAAAUGAACGUGGUGAUUCAAGUGAGGCAACAUGUGGUGCAUGUUGAAAGUACUACUAAUCCAAACUUGAUCUAGUUUGGAUUUGUUGUACUUUCGAUGUGCACCACAUGUUGCCUCCUCUUGAAUCUAAUCCAUGCUCAUUUCACCCACUGAUAUACUCCCUCCAUUCCCUUAUACAAGGCCACAAACUCAUAUUACACAUACCAAGAUAAAACUUAAUGACUCCUUGGCAAGUCAACUUUUCUUUUCGUUAUCCGGGAUUAUUAAUACACCAUAAGCAUGCAACGAAUGAAUGGGAAGGAAGUGUCUGAGUGUCAUUAUGACUACAUGCAUGUAUGUAUUAAAAAGUUGCUAGUACGAACAAACAUCAUUAAUUUUUGCGUUGAUUACUGUUGGUAGCCUUGUAUUGAUGCGAAAUGUAUUUUGAUAAUGGCCUUGUAUAAGGGAAUGGAGGGAGUAUAUAAUAACUCAUCAUGCUCAUAUACAACUUAGCAUCAUACAUCAUCAUAAUAAUAAAUAACUCGUCAUUGGUAUCAUAAUAACUUGUCCUACUUAUCAUCAUCAUACAACUUCUACUCGUUAUCAUAAUAACAAGUCAUACUCAUCAUCAUCCUAGUCAUCUAACCAACUCUACUUAAUUGUUCCUAGCACAUGAUCAUGAGUAUUAGCUAGGACCUAACUACCCUCUCUAAGGUAAAAUAGCAUAAAACAAGAUAGGCCCUGAAUCUCCACUAUGGAGAAUGGAGAUUAUCCUAUCUCCAGUUCUUGCGCUUCGCACAAUGUUGCUUCCAUGUAGCUGUUGGGGAACGUAGUAAUUUCAAAAAAAUUCUACGCACACGCAAGAUCAUGGUGAUGCAUAGCAACGAGAGGGGAGAGUGUUGUCCACGUACCCUCGUAGACCGAAAGCGGAAGCGUUAACACAACGCGGUUGAUGUAGUCGUACGUCUUCACGAUCCGGCCGAUCAAGUACCGAACGCACGGCACCUCCGAGUUCAACACACAUUCAGCUCGAUGACGUCCCUCGAACUCCGAUCCAUCCGAGUAUUGAGGGAGAGUUUCGUCAGCACGACGGCGUGGUGACGAUGAUGAUGUUCUACCGACGGAGGGCUUCGCCUAAGCACCGCUACGAUAUUAUCGAGGUGUAAUAUGGUGGAGGGGGGCACCGCACACAGCUAAGAGAUCAAUGAUCAAUUGUUUUGUCUAUGGGGUGACCCCCUGCCCCCGUAUAUAAAGGAGUAAGGGGGAGGCCGCCGGCCAAGGAGGAGGUCGCGCCAAGGGGGGAGUCCUACUCCCACCGGGAGUAGGACUCCUCCUUUCCUUGUUGGAAUAGGAGAAGGGAAGGGAGAAGGAGAAAGAAGGGGGCGCCCCCCCUCCCUAGUGCAAUUCGGACUAGUCCAUGGGGAGGGGUGCAGCUACCCUUUGGGGCCUUUCUCUCCUUUCCCGUAUGGCCCAUUAAGGCCCAAUACGAAUUCCCGUAACUCUCCGGUACUCCGAGAAAUACCCGAAUCACUCGGAACCUUUCCGAAGUCUGAAUAUAGUCGUCCAAUAUAUCGAUCUUUACGUCUCAGCCAUUUCGAGACUCCUCGUCAUGUCCCUGAUCUCAUCCGGGACUCCGAACUCCUUCGGUACAUCAAAACACAUAAACUCAUAAAAUAGCCGUCAUCGUAACGUUAAGCAUGCGGACCAUACGGGUUCGAGAACUAUGUAGACAUGACCAAGACACCUCUCCGGUCAAUAAUCAAUAGCGGAACCUGGAUGCUCAUAUUGGCUCCCACAUAUUCUACGAAGAUCUUUAUCGGUCAGACCGUAUAACAACAUACGUUGUUCCCUUUGUCAUCGGUAUGUUAUUUGCCCGAGAUUCGAUCAUCGGUAUCUUAAUACCUAGUUCAAUCUCGUUACCGGCAAGUCUCUUUACUCGUUUCGUAAUACAUCAUCCCGCAACUAACUCAUUAGUUACAAUGCUUGCAAGGCUUAUAGUGAUGUGCAUUACUGAGUGGGCCCUAGAGAUACCUCUCCGACAAUCGGAGUGACAAAUCCUAAUCUCGAAAUACGCCAACCCAAUAAGUACCUUUGGAAGCACCUGUAGAGCACCUUUAUAAUCACCCAGUUACGUUGUGACGUUUGCUAGCACACAAAGUGUUCCUCCGGUAAACGGGAGUUGCAUAAUCUCAUAGUCAUAGGAACAUGUAUAAGUCAUGAAGAAAGCAAUAGCAACAUACUAAACGAUCGAGUGCUAAGCUAACGGAAUGGGUCAAGUCAAUCACAUCAUUCUCCUAAUGAUGUGAUCCCGUUAAUCAAAUGACAACUCAUGUCUAUGGCUAGGAAACAUAACCAUCUUUGAUCAACGAGCUAGUCAAGUAGAGGCAUACUAGUGACACUCUGUUUGUCUAUGUAUUCACACAUGUAUCAAGUUUACGGUUAAUACAAUUCUAGCAUGAAUAAUAAACAUUUAUCAUGCUAUAGGAAAUAAAUAAUAACUUUAUUAUUGCCUCUAGGGCAUAUUUCCUUCAGUAGCUCCCUAUGAUUUUCCAUACAUUUUUUGCAAUCUUCGAUUGUCAUGUCUUCAUCGAUAUUAGAAAUCCGGUAUGAACAAUAGUGAAGCCUAGGAAGACCUGACCGUAAGCUCGUAACAUCAAGGCGACCUUUCAGAAGCAUCAGAUCACCACACAAUCCUUCAGGAUUUUCUGUUGAAAAACAUAGUAAUAACUUUGUAGUUAGCAAUGUAGUUUAGUUUUAGAAAAAUUUAUGCAAAAGAUGCACGGAUGUCGUAAUAGUAAAAAAAUCUUACCAUGCAAUCUCCAUGGAUGUUACCGUAGUUCAACACGUGCACUAGUGGCACGUAUUGACCAUAAUGUGCAGGAGUUUGAUAAUUGAUAUUGUAAUUCUCAACAUCAUUAAUAAAUGAGAUAAGAUGAUCUUUCUCCUGAUAAGUUAAUUCUGCACCAUCAGUAUAGUAGGUUCUGUCUACCAUCUUCCAUACAUUUUUUGAAGAAUGAAAAUAAGCUGUUAACAGAAAUAAGCUGUCAACUAUUUUGAAACAAACAAUAUAAAUUACUUAAUAAAUAUGUCUGAGAAACUCACAUAAAGGUAGAAGUGGAAGCGUAUCAACACGGACCAAAAUGCUAUCGUCAUGAUAACCAAGAUCGAAGGUGACAUACAUACCCUCUUGAAAAUCAUAUGCCUUGCACAGUGCUUCCAUAUUCGAGCAACCAAAAUGGGUUACGCUCUCCGAAUUGUAUAGCUUUACAGCAAAAUCAUAACCAUGAUUGGUCCUGAGAUGAAUUAUCUUUGUCUCCAUAUUUUCAUGAUCUUCGAAAUCCAGAUGCUCCAAGACAUAGCUUCUUGCAUCGCAUGGGAUAAGCUAGUCGAAUUUUGAUCAUGUGUACGAAAAUUAUUUAUAAUUUUUUUUAAAAUUGUUUGUGUAAAUAAAACAAAGAUUAAUCAUGUGUGCCUCCACGGGUGUGCUUCUUGUGGAGCAAAAAAACAUUUUUUUCUCCUUUCUCGCGGAAGCAAAUAUGUGCCUCUACGAGAAGCGAAUCUCGUGGAAGCAAAAGGAACACAUCAUUUUUCCUUUUUCGAGAGGCACAACUGUUGCUCUCGCGAAAGCAAAUAUAUGCCUCCAUGAGAAGCAAAUCCGUGCUUCUUGAGGAAGCAAAAGAAAAUGUGUUUUCCUGUUUUUUAGAGGCACAACUCUGACUCUUGCUGAAGAAAAACUGUGCAUCCAUGAGAAGCAAAUCUAUGCUUCUCAUGGAAGCAAAAAUAACUCAUAUUUUCUCCUUUUUAGAGAAGCACUGGUGUGCCUCCCAUGGAAGCAAUCUGUGCCUCCAUUGAAAAAAAUGUGCUUCUUUUCACGCAAUAGUUUUUUUCUUAUUUUUCUCUCUCCAAAACAAGGGCUAGCCAGGCGAAUACCAAAAAAAUGAAAAAACCAUCUAAAACUCAAAAACGCGUACAUGAAAAAAAAUUCUAAGGGAGUGCCUGAUGUUUACUAUGCAAUGUUUCUUCAUAUAGACUCUGUUGGGACUCCGAGUGCACAGUUUUGUAUGACAUCAGCACAUUUUCCUCGGGUGGAUGACCUACUAUUUAUCAAUUUGUGGGAGGUGUAGGAUGAAGAUGAUUUCUCUCAAACAAACCUGCAAUCAAAUACAAGAAAUCUCUUGGCCCCAACACACCAAAUACAAUGGUAAAUUAUAUAGGUGCACUAAUUUGGCGAAGAGAUGGCGAUACAAGUGUAGUAUGGAUAGUAGCUAUAGGUUUUUGUAAUUUGAAAUAAUAAAAACAAUAAGGUAGCAAGAAACAAAAGUGCGCACAAACGGUAUUGCAAUGCUUAGAAACACGGCCUAGGGUUCAUAAUUUCUUUAGUGCAAUCUCUCAACAGUGCUCACAUAAUUGAAUCCCAUAAUACUCCCUCAACAUAUGACAAUAUAUUUUUAUGUGAAAGCUCUCUUCCCUAUACUAAUCAUUCAUGAAUUGCUUGUAUGACCAAUAUUAUUAUUGGCAAACUUUAAUAGAUUUUACUUUCUAAACCCAAUACAAAAUAUUCCUAAGCAUAUGGAACAUAUAUAAUUUGGGGCUUAUGAUAUUCAAUUCAUUCAACAAUUUACUCUUAGGAUAUAAGUGAAGCACAAGAGUGAACGACAAACUACUCCAAAAGAUUUGAGUGAAGAUCAAUGACUAGUCAAACAAUUAAUUAGCUAUGUGAGGACUCUCCCCAAAUCAAAAUUUUAGAACCAAGUAUUUUAUUCAAACAACAAACAAAAUGAAAAGAUGCUUCGACCAGAACACAUAUCAUGUGAUGAACAACAAACAAGAGGGGAUGCCUUCCGGGGCAUCCCCAAGCUUACACGCUUGAGUCUUCCUUGAAUAUUACCCAAGCUUAGGGUCUUGCUGCUUGUUAUUAUCCUCAUGUUAUAUCUCACCCAAAACUUGAAAACUUCAAUCACACAAAACUUAACGAAACUUCGGGAGAUGCAUUAAUGUAAUAAAACAAAUCAUUCACUUGGGUGCCGUCAAGACAAGAUUCAUACUUGUUUCCAUAAAAUGCCUAGUGUACUCUAUAAUUUAUAUUGACCAAUAUAAGCCAUAGAAAGUAUAAAACAAGCAAACUAUACAUUGAAAAUAGAACGAGUCAAAAACAGGACAGUCUAUAAUGAUAUGAACAAAAACCAUACUUCUGAAACACUAAAAAUUCUUACAAAUUAGGAAAACGUAGGAAAUUUGUAUAUUAACACCGUUUAAAAAUUUCAGACCAAAAGCAUGUUCCAGUGAAUGUUAUAAAUUCCUAGACUUAGCACAAAAGUUUCUGUUUUUGCACAGAAUCAAGUCAACUAUCAUCCGCACUAUCCCAAAGGCUUUACUAGGCACUUUAUUGAAACAAAAGCUAUAAACAUGAUUACUACACUAGCUUAAUCAUGUGAACACAGAUAAAAAGUAGGUAGAAAUAUUGGGUUGCCUCCCAACAAGCGCUUUUCUUUAAUGCGUUUUUAGCUAGGCAUGAUGAUUUCAAUGACGCUCUCAUAAAAGUAAAGAACAGAAACAUAAUGGGAGCAUCAUGAAGCAUAUGACUAGCACAUUUAAGCCUAGCCCACUUUGUAUGCAUAGGUAUUUUGGGAGUAAAAACAAAUUAUGGGAGCAAGAAUCAACUAGCAUAGGAAGGCAAAACAAGUAUGCCUUCAAAACAUUGAACACAUAGAGAGGAAACUUGAUAUUACUUAGAUAUGUAAAAGCAAAUGUUUUCUCUCUCAUAAUAAUUUUUAGUAGCAUCAUGAACAAAUUCAACAAUAUACCUAUCAUACCAAGCAUUUUUUUUCAUAAUCCAUAAGCAUAUAAAUUUUAUUACUCUCCACAUAAGCAAUUUUUUUCUCAUUCAUAAUAGUGGAACCAAACUCAACAAAAUGACUAUCAUAUGAAACUUGUUUGACAUAACCCAAUUGAACAUUAAAAUCAUGAUGACAAUUUUCAUGGUUGUUGUUACUUUUUAUAGCAUACAUGUCAUCACCGUAAUCAUCAUAGAUAGUAACUUUGUUUUCAUAAUCAAUUGAAAUCUCUUCCAAAAUAGUGGAAUCAUCAUUAAAUAAAGUCACGACCUCUCCAAAUCCACUUUUAGCAUUAUUCCUUGAACACCCUCCAAAAUAGUUGGAUCAUUACUACCUAGAGUUGACACUCUUACAAACCCACUUUCAUCAUUGUAAUCAUCCUAAAUAGGAGGCAUGCAACAUCAUAAUAAAUUUUCUCAUCAAAAAGGGGGGCUAAAAAGGUCAUCUUCAUCAAACAUAGCAUCCGCAAACUUAUGGCUUUUCAUAUCAUUAGCAUCAUGGGUAUUAAAAGAAUACAUACUAAUAUAAUUGCAACCAUGCUUAUCAUCCAAAUAUUUUAUGCCAAACGUUUUUGAAUUCUUCUUAUAACAUUUUGGCACAAUUUUCGGAACCAUCUUUUUCAAGAAAGACAUCAUAAAGAUAAAAAACUUGAUGCAACUUCAAUUCCAUUUUUUUGUAGUUUUCUUUUAUAAACCAAACAAGUGAAAAUCGAGAAACUAAAAGAUUCGACUGGAAGAUCUAAAGAUAUAACUUCAAGCACUCACCUCCGCGGCAACAUCGCCCAAAAAGAACUUGAUGUCUACUACACAACUUUUCUUCUUGUAGACUCUGUUGGGCCUCCAAGCACAGAGUUCUGUAGGACAAGAGAAAAUUUUCCUCAAGUAGAUGACCUAAGGUUUAUCAAUCCAUGGAAGGUGUAGGACGAAGAUGGUCUCUCUCAAACAACCCUUCAAUCAAAUACAAGAAAUCUCUUACGUCCCCAACACACCCAAUACAAUGGUAAAUGGCAUAGGUGGACUAGUUUGGCAAGUGAAGUAUGUAUAGUAAAUAUAGGUUUUUGUAAUCUGGAAUAAUAAAAACAGCAAGCUAGCAAGUAACAAAAGUGAGCUCAAACAGUAUUGCAAUGCUUAGAAACAAGGCCUAGGGUUCAUGUAUACCUUCACUAGUGCAAUCUCUCAACAGUGCUAACAUAAUUGAAUCACAUAACAAUCCCUCAACGUACUACAAAUAAUCACUCCAAAGUUCUUAAAAAUAGCAGAGAACAUAAGAUGAAAUUGUUGUAGGUAGCAAACCACCUCAAAUUUAUCUUUCGGAUCAAUCAAUUGAGCCAUCCCUAUAAGUGUCACAAAUAGCCCUAGAGUUCGUACUAAAAUAACAGCAAGUGAUAUCUAUCAAUCAACUCUAAUGUCACCUAGAUACUCCAGUGUCACCACAAGUAUCCAAUGUCCCUAGAUACAUCAAGAUCGUGCCAAAUAAAGAACACGAGAGAGAGAGAGAGAGAUGAUACGUCUCCGUCGUAUCUACUUUUCCAAACACUUUUGCCCUUGUUUUGGACUCUAACUUGCAUCAUUUGAAUGGAACUAACCCGGACUGACGCUGUUUUCAGCAGAAUUGCCAUGGUGUUAUUUAUGUGCAGAAACAAAAGUUCUCGGAAUGACCUGAAACUCCACGGAACUUAUUUUUGGAAAAUAUUAAAAAUAUUGGCGAAAGAAUCAAGGACAGGGGGCCCACCACCUGUCCACGAGGGUGGGGGCGCGCCUGCCCCCUUGGGCGCGCCCCGCUGCCUCAUGGGCCCCCUGGAGCUCCACCGACCUCAACUCCAACUCCGUAUAUUCGUGUUCGGGGAGAAAAAAAUCAGGGAGAAGGAUUCAUCGCGUUUUACGAUAUGGAGCCGCCGCCAAGCCCUAAAACCUCUCGGGAGGGCUGAUCUGGAGUCCAUUCAGGGCUCCGGAGAGGGGAAUCCGUCGCCAUCGUCAUCAUCAACCAUCCUCCAUCACCAAUUUCAUGAUGCUCACCGCCGUGCGUGAGUAAUUCCAUCGUAGGCUUGCUGGACGUUGAUGGGUUGGAUGAGAUUUAUCAUGUAAUCGAGUUAGUUUUGUUAGGGUUUGAUCCCUAGUAUCCACUAUGUUCUGAGAUUGAUGUUGCUAUGACUUUGCUAUGCUUAAUGCUUGUCACUAGGGCCCGAGUGCCAUGAUUUCAGAUCCGAACCUAUUAUGUUUUCAUGAAUAUAUGUGAGUUCUUGAUCCUAUCUUGCAAGUCUAUAGUCACCUACUAUGUGUUAUGAUCCGGCAAACCCGAAGUGACAAUAAUCGGGACCACUCCCGGUGAUGACCAUAGUUUGAGGAGUUCAUGUAUUCACUAUGUGUUAAUGCUUUGGUCGAGUACUCUAUUAAAUGGAGGCCUUAAUAUCCCUUAGUUUCCAUUAGGACCCCGCUGCCACGGGAGGGUACGACAAAAGAUGUCAUGCAAGUUCUUUUCCAUAAGCACGUAUGACUAUAUUCGGAAUACAUGCCUACAUUACAUUGAUGAAUUGGAGCUAGUUCUGUGUCACCCUAUAUUAUGACUGUUACAUGAUGAACUGCAUCCGGCAUAAUUCUCCAUCACCGAUCCAAUGCAUACGAGCUUUUCACAUAUUGUUCUUCGCUUAUUUACUUUUCCGCUGCUUCUGUUACAAUCACUACAAAACCCAAAAAUAUUACUUUUGCUACCGUUACCGUUACUUCCAUACUAGUUUGCUACUAAACACUUUGAUGCAGAUACUAAGUUAUCCAGGUGUGGUUGAAUUGAUAACUCAACUGCUAAUACUUGAUAAUAUUCUUUGGCUCCCCUUGUGUCGAAUCAUUAAAUUUGGGUUGAAUACUCUACCCUCGAAAACUGUUGCGAUCCCCUAUACUUGUGGGUUAUCAAGACUAUUUUCUGGCGCCGUUGCCGGGUGGCAUAGCUCUAUUCUUUGAGUCACUUGGGAUUUAUAUCUGCUGGUCACUAAUGACGAACUUGAAAGAUGAGAAAACAAAAAAAAUUCCCUCAACUACGAGGGGAGGUAAGGAACUGCCAUCUAGCUCUGCACUUGAUUCACCUUCUGUUUUGAGUAAGCUUGCGACACCUAAACCUGCUUCUGCUAUUAAUUCUGAUAUGUCGCAUGUUAUUGAUGAUGCCACUUCUGCUUUGCAUGAUACUUAUGAUGAAACUACUUCUAUGCUUGAUACUACUGUCCCACUUGGUGAAUUUCUUGAUGAACAACUUGCUAGGGCUAGAGAGAAUGAAAUUAUUGAAACUGAUAAUAUUGAUGAUAGUGAUGAUGAAGACUCUUCCGCUAAUAACUAUGAAUUACCUGUUGUGCCUGAGGGCUAUGUUAUGGAUGAAGAAACUAAAAGAGACUUUCUUGCUUGCAAUGAUAGAAGUGAUCUUAAGAAAUUAUUAGCUAAGCUUAAAACAAAAACUCUGAAUGCUAGAAUGAAAUAUGAUCCUGCUUAUGCUACUUCACCUAUCUUCAUUACUGAUAAGGAUUAUGAAUUCUCCAUUGAUCCUGAUAUAAUUAGUUUGGUUGAAUCUGAUCCUUUCUAUGGCUAUGAAUCUGAAACUGUUGUGGCACAUCUUACUAAAUUAAAUGAUAUAGCCACCCUGUUCACUAAUGAUGAGAGAACUCGCUACUUUUAUAUCCUUAAAAUAUUUCCGUUCUCAUUAAAGGGUGAUGCUAAGAUAUUGUUUAAUUCUCUUGAUCCUGGUUGUGUGCGUAGUCCCCCGGAUAUGAUUUAUUACUUCUCUGCUAAAUAUUUCCCUGCUCAUAAGAAACAAGCUGCUUUAAGGGAAAUAUAUAAUUUUGUGCAAAUUGAAGAAGAGAGUCUCCCACAAGCUUGGGGAGGCUUCUCCAAUUACUUAAUGCUUUGCAUGAUCAUCCUCUCAAGAAAAAUGAAAUACUUGAUAUCUUUUAUAAUUGACUAACUCAUGCUUCCAGAGAUUACCUGGAUAGUUGUGUUGGUUCUGUUUUCAGGGAAAGAACACCGGAUGAAGCUGAAAUUCUAUUGAAUAAUAUGUUGACAAAUGAAAAUAAUUGGACACUUCCUGAGUCAGCUCCUGAACGUAUUCCGAGGAAAAGAGGUGUUCUAUUUCUCAGUCCUGAAGAUAUGCAAGAGGCAAAGAAAUCUAUGAAAGAAUAGGGUAUUAAAGGUGAAGAUGUUAAGAAUUUACCUCCUAUUAAAUAAAUACAUGGUCUAAAUUUACCGCAUGUUGAAGAAAUAUAUGAUCUUAAUCCAUUACCUAUUGAAGAAACUCAUGGUCUUGAUAACCCGACACAGGUAGUAAAGGUAAAUUCCCUCUAUAGAUUUGAUGAAGGUGAUAUCCCUCGUUAUAAGUCUGCUAGACAAUGCCUAGAUGAGUUUGACAAUUUUAUUGUUAAACAAGAAAACUUUAAUGCUUAUUUUGGUAGACAAUUGAAAUACAAUUAUGAUAUGCUAGAACACUUGGGUGAUUAUAUGUCUAGAGUUAAAGGUGAACUUAAAUUCAUUAGUAAACAUGCUUCUAUGGUCACCACUCAAGUAGAACAAGUACUUAAAGCUCAGAAUGAUUUGCUCAAUGAAUUAAAUAGUAAGAAUAAUGAUUAUGCUGUUAGAGUGGCUACUAGAACUGGUAAAAUGACUCAGGAACCUUUGUAUCCUGAAGGCCAUCCUAAGAGAAUUGAGCAGGAUUCUCAGAGAAAUAAUAUUGAUGCACCUAGUCCUUUGCAUGCUUCUAGUGAACCUGUUGUAGACACACCUGAGAAUCCAAAUGAUAUUUCUAUUUCUGAUGCUGAAACACAAUCUGGUAAUGAACAUGAACCUAGUGAUAAUAUUAAUGAUGAUGUUCAUGUUGAUGCUCAACCUAGCAAUGAUAAUGAUGUAGAAAUUGAACCUGCUGUUGAUCUUGAUAACCCACAAUCAAAGAAUCAUCGUUAUGAUAAGAGACUUUGUUGCUAGGAAACAUGGUAAAGAAAGAGAACCAUGGGUUCAGAAACCCAUGCCUUUUCCUCCCAAACCAUCCAAGAAAAAUGAUGAUGAGGAUUUUGAGCGCUUUGCUGAAAUGAUUAGACCUAUCUUCUUGCAUAUACGUUUGACUGAUAUGCUCAAAAUGAAUCCUUAUGCUAAGUAUAUGAAAGAAAUUGUUACUAAUAAAAGAAAGAUACCAGAAGCAGAAAUUUCCACCAUGCUUGCUAAUUACACUUUUAAGGGUGGAAUACCAAAGAAACUAGGAGAUCCAGGAGUACCAACUAUACCAUGCUCCAUUAAAAGAAAUUAUGUUAAAACUGCUUUGUGUGAUCUUGGAGCCGGUGUUAGUGUUAUGCCUCUCUCUUUAUAUCGUAGACUUGACUUGAAUAAGUUGACACCUACUAAAAUAUCUUUGCAAAUGGCUGAUAAAUCAACUGCUAUACCUGUCGGUAUUUGUGAGGAUGUGCCUGUUGUGGUGGCGAACGUUACUAUUUUAACGGACUUUGUUAUUCUUGAUAUUCCCGAGGACGAUAGUAUGUCUAUUGUUCUUGGAAGACCCUUUUUGAAUACUGCAGGGGCUGUUAUUGACUGCAACAAGGGCAAUGUCACCUUUCAUGUUAAUGGUAAUGAGCAUACGGUACACUUUCCGAGGAAACAACCUCAGGUCCAUAGUAUCAACUCUAUUGGAAAAAUUCCAUCGAUUAUUUUUGGAGGUUUUGAAUUUCCUCUUCCUACUGUCAAAAAGAGAUAUGAUAUUUUAUUAUCGGGGAUGUGCAUAUCCCCGUUGAGGUAACAUAGUGUUAUGCGAAAUUUCUCCGGUUUCAUGCAAUUCGGAAUGAGUUUCUUAACAAGACUUGAUCAACCUUGUUAGUGGAUUCCUUUUGAUGAGCAUGAGAUGGAUGAAGUUAGAAAGCACAACCUUCUGUACCCUCCUUUUACUUUCUGUUAUUUAGUUGAAAUAAAUUAAAAAUAGUAUUUUUCUGUUAGUUUCCUGAAUUAUCCGUGCAAUAUAAAAAUACCCCGAAAAUAAACGUUCUCCAAAUGCCCUGCCAAUUUAAUAUGAUUUUUUCUGGAAUAUUUGAGAAUAUCUGGCACUAAGAACACAGCAGGGCGAGCAAGCACCUGGCCACGAGGGUCCGGGGCGCGCCCACCCCUACAGGGCGCGCCCCCGGCCUCGUGGGCCCACGGUGGCUCCCCUCCACUUAUGCCAGCCACUACACACUUCUUCUUCCUCCCAAAAAAAUCACCAUCCAGCUCAAGCACGAGUUCUAGCUCAUUUUGCUUCGAUUUUCGAUCUCCUUGCUCAAAGCACCUCUCACAAAACUGCUUCGGGGGAUUGUUCCUUGGUACGUGACUCCUCCAUUGGUCCAAUUAGUUUUUGUUCUAGUGCUUUAUUCAUUGCAAAUUUGUGCUGCCUAGGUGACCAUGGUCUUGAGCUUGCAUGUCAAAUUUAUAUGGUUCCAAGUAGUUCUAAUGCAUGAUAUAGGCUCUAGGCACUCGUAGGAGUAGUUGCAAUCAAUUUUGUUGAGCUUGGUCACUUUUAUUUGAAGUUACUAAAAUUUUCAGCAAUUUUUCAGAGGAAGAAAUAUGUUUAGGAAAAUGUACCAAGGUGGUUCUUCAAGGAAACAAGGACCCAGGCUUGCAAUGCGUGAUGCUGACGAUGAACCACCAAGGGACGCUCCAGAUCGGCCUUGUGAAUGGCCUUCAGAAGACUUUAUGGAUCGAGCAGGAAUCAAGGAAGAAUUUAACGCAUAUUUGCGUAACGCUGAUCUUGUGAGCUUCGAGGCAGAAAAGUGCCGUCAGUACCACUAUCUCACUAGUUGCUUUGUGAGGAGGUUCAAAUUUUCAUCUUCACGUAAUUCUCAAACUGUCAUGUUUGAUCUUUAUGAAAAUUCUUAUACUAUGGACUUAGAGGAUUUUACCACUGCUUGCAAACUUCCACAACGGGGUAGUCCUAGUGAACCUUGCAAAUCUGAAUUUAGAGAUUUUCUUGCUAGUAUAACUGUGGGUGAAUCUAGAGACAUAACACAAGGUACCAUAGGGAGUAUUCAUUUUCCUGCUAUACAUUGUUUUGCUCUCUUCAUAGGUAGGUGCAUAAAUGGUAAGGAUGAAGCAUGUCACAUGUGUGUCCCUGACCUCAGUGUUCUCAGGAGUGCUGUGUUAGGAGACAAACAUUAUAAUUUAGGAGCCAUUGUCGCACGUAGGUUGCAUAAUAAUAAAAUUAAUGGAGAUUUCUUUGGUGGAAUUUAUGCAACCUGUAUAGCUAAUUUUCUUGGUGUAACUAUACGUGAGUAUCAUGUUGAGUUGCCUAAUGUUUGUUUAGAUUAUAAUGCCAUGGUUCAUCAUCGUUUUCUUGAGAGGAACGAGCAGUCCCUCCAGUAUCGCUUAAUCUUUGACAGACGUCGCGCUGUCCAUAUUACUCUCCCUGCUCCUGCCUUCUUUGAUUAUCAGGCAAAAGGAAGACAUGUUAUUACCAGAGAGGAGGUAGAUGAGUACGAGAGGAGGGCGGAGGCAGCUCGCCGACACGCUGCAGCUCAGGAGGCAAUAGCCGCUGCAUCUCAGUACGACCCCGGUUAUAACUUUGCAUAUCCGCCACCCCGUGGCAAUAAACCAACUUAGGCCAAAAGCCUAAGCUUGGGGGAGUACAUAUUUCCCACCGACAUUACAUUUAUGUUUACACACUCAUUGCUAGAUGUCGGUACUCAUACUCUUUCAUUGCACUAUCCAUGCUAGUUUAUUUUUUUUCUUGCUUUCUUCUUGUGUGUUUGAUAAACCUUAAGAAAAACCCAAAAAAUUAGUAAUAGCUUUUAGCUAGUUUACUUUCUUGCUGUAGUAAUAAUAAUUAAAAAGAACACCCAAAAAUAUUUCAUGUUCGUCUUUUGCUUGUUGGGUGCUUUCCCAUGUAAAUAGUUUUAUUUCUUUUCUUUUCUUUGGGGGUCGAUAGGAGAAGACCAUAAUUAAAUUGUUGAAGUGGCUCUUAUAUGCAUUAUUGUUGAUUUAACCAAGAGUCCAUAUUGCCUUGUCUUCUCCUGUUUAUUGAAUGCUCGCAGAUUCCAGCUUAGUCCAAUGCACGUGCACUAUUAUUAUUAUUCACAUCGUUCGGUCGUGCAAGUGAAAGGCAAUUAUGACGAUAUAUGAUGGACUGAUUGAGAUUGGAGAAGCUGGUAUGAACUCGACCUCUCUUGUUUUUGUAAAUAUGAUUAGUUCAUCGUUCCUGAUUCAGCCUAUUAUGAAUAAACAUGUUUGCAAUGACAAUUAGAGAUCAUAGUUGCUCGUGCCAUGCUUGAUUAGCUAUGAGUUAUAAUGGUUUACCUUGCAUGCCAACAUGCUAUUAAAAUGGUUGUGAUGUGGUAUGCUGGGGUGGUAUCCUCCUUUGAAUGAUUUAAGUGACUCGACUUGGCACAUGUUCACACAUGUAGUUUAAAAAAAUCAACAUAGCCUUCACGAUAUUUAUGUUCAUGGUGGAUUAUAUCCUACUCAUGCUUGUACUCAAUGUUUAUUAAUUUUAAUGCAUGUUCAUGACUGUUGUCGCUCUCUAGUUGCUCGCUUCCCAGUCUUUUGCUAGCCUUCACUUGUACUAAGCGGGAAUACUGCUUGUGCAUCCAAUCCCUUAAACCCCAAAGUUAUUCCAUAUGAGUCCACCAAUACCAUCCUAUAUGUGGUAUCUACCUGCCAUUCCAAGUAAAUUUGUAUGUGCCAAACUCUAAACCUUCAAAUGAAAUUCUGUUUUGUAUGCUUGAAUAGCUCAUGUAUCAACUAGGGAUGUCUGUAUCUUCCAUGUUAGGCGGGUUAUUCUCAAGAGGAGUGGACUCCGCUCCUCACUCACGAGAACAUGGCUGGUCACCGGGAUGCCCAGUCCCAUGCUUUAUGCAAAUCAAAUCAAAAUAAUUGCAAACAAAACUCCCCCUGGGAAUGUUGUUAGUUGGAGGAACUCGUUGUUUCGAGCAAGCCAUGGAUUGAUGCUUGUGGUGGAGGGGGAGUAUAAACUUUACCAUUCUGUUUGGGAACCGCCUAUAAUGUGUGUAGCAUGGAAGAUAUCGCCAUCUCUUGGUUGUUAUGUUGACAAUCAAAGUAUGCCGCUCAAAAUAUUAUUUAUCUCUGCAUUAAAAUCGAGCUCUGGCACCUCUAUAAAUCCCUGCUUCCCUCUGCGAAGGGCCUAUCUAUUUACUUUCAUGUUGAGUCAUCGCCCUCUCAUUAAAAAGCACCAGCUGGAGAGCACUGCUGUCAUUUGCAUCCAUUACUAUUAAUUUAUAUUGGGUAUGACUAUCACUGGAUCUCUUUUACCAUGAAUUACAAUGUUUAGUCAGUCCUUGAUCUGUAAAAAGGUGCUCUGCAUUUAUGUUUUGCAGUCUCAGAAAGGGCUAGCGAGACACCAUCUUGUUAUAUCAUAUUAUGAUUGUUUUGAGAAAGUGUUGUCAUCCGAGAUUUAUUAUUAUGGCUCGCUAGUUGAUUAUGCCAUUGAUAUGAGUAAACAUGAGACCUAAGAGUUAUUGUGAAUGUGGUUAGUCAUAAUCUUUGCUGAUAAUUUGAACGAUGGCUUUAUAUAUUUACAACAACAAGAGCAAAUAGAGUUUGUAAAAGUUUUUCUUUAUCACUUUCAGUUUAUCAACUGAAUUGCUUGAGGACAAGCAAAGGUUUAAGUUUGGGGAGUUGAUACGUCUCCAUCGUAUCUACUUUUCCAAACACUUUUGCCCUUGUUUUGGACUCUAACUUGCAUGAAUUGAAUGGAACUAACCCGGACUGACGCUGUUUUCAGCAGAAUUGCCAUGGUGUUAUUUAUGUGCAGAAACAAAAGUUCUCGGAAUGACCUGAAACUCCACGGAACUUAUUUUUGGAAAAUAUUAAAAAUAUUGGCGAAAGAAUCAAGGCCAAGGGGCCCACCACCUUUCCACGAGGGUGGGAGGCGUGCCUGCCCCCUGGGCACGCCCCUGCCUCAUGGGCCCCCUAGAGCUCCACCGACCUCAACUCCAACUCCAUAUAUUCGUGUUCGGGGAGAAAAAAUCAGGGAGAACGAUUCAUCGCGUUUUACGAUACGGAGCCGCCGCCAAGCCCUAAAACCUCUCGGGAGGGGGCUGAUCUGGAGUCCAUUCGGAGCUCAGGGGAGGGGAAUCCGUCGCCAUCAUCAUCAUCAACCAUCCUCCAUCACCAAUUUCAUGAUGCUCACCGCCGUGCGUGAGUAAUUCCAUCACAGGCUUGCUGGACGGUGAUGGGUUGGAUGAGAUUUAUCAUGUAAUCGAGUUAUUUUUGUUAGGGUUUGGUCCCUAGUAUCCACUAUGUUCUGAGAUUGAUGUUGCUUUGACUUCGCUAUGCUUAAUGCUUGUCACUAGGGCCCGAGUGCCAUGAUUUCAGAUCUGAACCUAUUACGUUUUCAUGAAUAUAUGUGAGUUCUUGAUCCUAUCUUGCAAGUCUAUAGUCACCUACUAUGUGUUAUGAUCCGGCAACCCGAAGUGACAAUAAUCGGGACCACUCCCGGUGAUGACCAUAGUUUGAGGAGUUCAUGUAUUCACUCUGUGUUAAUGCUUUGGUCCGGUACUCUAUUAAAAGGAGGCCUUAAUAUCCCUUAGUUUCCAUUAGGACCCCGCUGCCACGGGAGGGUAGGACAAAAGAUGUCAUGCAAGUUCUUUUCCAUAAGCACGUAUGACUAUAUUCGGAAUACAUGCCUACAUUACAAUGAUGAAUUGGAGCUAGUUCUGUGUCACCCUAUAUUAUGACUGUUACAUGAUGAACCGCAUCCGGCAUAAUUCUCCAUCACCGAUCCAAUGCCUACGAGCUUUUCACAUAUUGUUCUUCGCUUAUUUACUUUUCCGUUGCUACUGUUACAAUCACUACAAAACCCAAAAAUAUUACUUUUGCUACCGUUACCGUUACUUCCAUACUACUUUGCUACUAAACACUUUGAUGCAGAUACUAAGUUAUCCAGGUGUGGUUGAAUUGACAACUCAACUGCUAAUACUUGAGAAUAUUCUUUGGCUCCCCUUGUGUCGAAUCAAUAAAUUUGGGUUGAAUACUCUACCCUCGAAAACUGUUGCGAUCCCCUAUACUUGUGGGUUAUCAAGAGAGAGAUGAAACACAUAGCUACUGGUGCAUACCCUCAUGCCCGAUAGAAAAUUAGGUUGUAUGAAUCGUUUGUAGAUAAUUCAUAACGACCUUGGACCAUACAAACUGAACAAAUUUUGUCGCUAUAUAAUUUGUUAUAUGUUGUUAUUAAAAAUCAGUAAUAAAAUUGUAUAUAUUGAACUGACUUAGGAUCUUUUUGUAUAAUUUAUGUCACUAUUCAUGCUGGCAAGAAACCUACAAAUAUUAUAAAGUUGGCUAAUAUAAGUAAAGUCUCACAUAUAUAGAAAAAUAAAUCACUCUUAGUUCUUUUUGGGAUUAUUAUAUGUUGUACUAUUAUUGUAUGAACAAAUAAAGGACAAAAAUUAGAUUGUUUAGUUGUAUUAAUUAUUAAAAACUCGAAAGCAUGGAAGAUUGUUGCCUUUGAUCACUUGGGGUUUAGCUAUAGCUACCUCAUCCUAACCCAUGCCGUCUCUAGAUCAUUGUACCAACUUGUGCUUUUUAGAACAUUUUUCUGCAAAAUGGAAGUGCUGCUUUUCCAGAACAUUUUGAUAUCUUAUUUACAUUUUUAUGAAUUCAUAUGAAUUUGCAAUGAAUUUUUCAAAGUGAUGUUCAAAUGCUCAAAGGGCAUUCAGGAGACCUAAAAUUCUUUUUAGAGGCAAAACUGAGCAGAGUCGAAAACUAGGGGCAAAACUAAAGGAUUGGAACCAACUAAGGGCAAGAAAGGAAUUGUCCCGCCAAUGGUUUUCUAAAUCUCGAUCUGGUCGGAGAUUAAACCAAGACUGAGUAUCCAUAUUUAAGGGGCCUUAUUGACAUGGAUUUUUUUUGCUUGCAGCUUUAUUGUCCAUUCUCACAUGCUUGUCUUAAAAUUACGAAACCUUAAACAAAUAUAUCAAAGUUAUUAAUUAUGUAAGUAGUGUAACUUUAUCAGGUGUAUUAGUUCCUAAUCAGAGCUCAUAGAUUAAGCAAAAAAAUUGUAUGCCAUGCUAAUACGAUAAUUCAAAUGAUGCACGAAAAAAUACACGCAUGGAUAUUAGUUUAAAUAAAUACAAACGUGCUAUUUCCAUGCAAUAAAUACAUGCCACUACAAAUGCAUCGUGAGACCGUGGGCCAUGAUUUUCUUUACAAGGACAAAGACAAUAUGGAUUUGACAAUCAUAUGGAUCUGCAAUCACAAAUAUUAGUUAUGAUGCAGGCUCAAGUAUAAUAAAAAUACUCAUUAUGAACAAUGAAAAAAACAAAAAGAUAAUAUCCAAAACAUCUUAUAAUGAAAUGUACCUAAGGGUUAGAUGACAACUCACUCUUAUGAGACGUUGUGUUUGGAGAUCAAUCAUACACUAUACCAACACAAUUGCAUGUUUAGUGAUUAGCCAGCAGAAAGGUAAGUUUGUAGAACUAUAUACAUAACCUAUGUGUCCAUUUAUAGUAUUAGCCAACAGAAAGAAGUCAUAAAUUUCCCUUUAUAUUCUUUAGUGAUAUCUACAUGACAAUAACUGUCUCACAUCAAAACCACAGGGCCAUACAAUGCAUCCUUGUUUAACUACGAUGGUAACGGAUAAUAGAUACUACAAUUAUUGCGAAAGUUUUGUAUAUCCCAUAACGGAAGAUCCGACACCUCAUAACAACCCAUCCAUCUCAUUCACGGGCCAGAUGACGUCACUGGUUGAUAUCGACGCCCCUAUGGCAAUUAUCGUUUCCUCACCAUGCAAGUGCCUUCUUCCAUGGUAUGAUUUCAUUGUUAGAAUCUCUAACCUUGAUGAGGCGUACAUUUUCGUAGUUGAACACCUCGUGCACUCUCCAAGCCAAGGUGAACAACCAACUAAAGGAGGUUGCAGCGGGUACUACCAACAGAAACUGAUGCAUAACAUUGUGUUGCCAACAUACCUAACUAGGGUGGAAGUGUACGUGUAUGGUAUUUCCUAGUUGCAAAGAGGUGGACCCUAAUGAACAACCUCAAGGCGCAGAUGACGAAACACAAUAUACCCUCAUCGAGUGCCCGAGUUGGACCCUUAGGUGGCCUAAGUGACGAAUACAUUUGGGGACGCACUCCCCCCAGCUAGCAAACACUCUCACCGCUGACACUUUGUACGAAUGUCCCUACACUGGGACCAUCUACUUUGGGUCCUCACCGAGCUGAAGGUCCUUAGGACAUAGUGGUGGCUAAUGAUGAGGGCGCUGACAAAGAUGAGCCGCCGCCCGACACACUAUGAGCAUGGGGAGGAGGAUGUUAAUAUGUAUUUUAACAAUGAAUAUGAUGAUGGCAUGACUUUUGCGGUUAACCAUAAUGCUGUUGAGAGUUUGCUUAAUAUGCCGCUAGUGGACGACACUCAGAAUGAUCAAUGUCCCUCAAAGCGAAUGUCAUGACUCCGAUCACAAUGAAUGGGUCAAUUUGAGACACACUGGGAGCCCCCAGUUAUCGUUGUACCCAGAAGUGGGAGGAAGAAGAGACGUAAAAAGUUUGAUUACACAAGGCACGGGCAUUGCUGGCAGACAGAAACUGGUAUGAAAGUAGAUUGAGGAUCAUCCUUCUAUGUUCGAGGGGCUCAUUUUCCGGUGAACCCAUGGUACCCAGUAAUAUACACGAUCCAUGUUAUUCGACAUGAGAUUUCUUAGGGAUGACAUUCUCAACAAAGAGAGGGUGGACAAGGUCACGUUUCUUAGCCAACCUAAAAAUCGCUCGAUUUAGAUGGUGAAGGUUCCAUCCGGUGUCGGCUUCCUCGAAGAUUUGCCCGCAGACAAAUUCUAUAUUGAUUUCGGGUUACCAUGCCUUUUGUGUAGUAUCUACUUAAGUUUUAAAGAUGCAUGAUGAAAAUGACCUACUAUGUUUACUUCAUUAACCUUAGUAGUCAUUGACGUAUCGAAACAUGACAAUUCUAGCACGGCAACAACAUGAGAGCUUCUUCUCAUAAAUGCUACCAUGGCAGCAAAAAGAUUAACUAAAAAUGCAACCAUGCUAGCUUAUAUUAGCCCCAAGGCUGGAAAAUUCUACCAUGACAACUAAAUGAGCAAUUUGACUCAUAAAUGCUGCCAUGGUAGAGAAAUGAUCCUAUUUGACAAUCAUUGACCCCAUGGUAGCAAAUAUGAGGCCAAAGGCUCAAAAGUUUUUCCAUGAUAACUAAAAGAGCCAUUUAGCCUAGAAUCGUUGCGAUGGCAGGUAAAUGAGCCAUUUCGCUCAGACUUGCUACCAUGGAGUUAAAUGAGCCACUUGGCUCCAACUUGCUGCCAUGUCAGCAAAAAAUGAAUGCAAAACUACCAUCACAACAAACAGCCCCAAGGUUAAAAAUUUCUGCCAGGCCUAGGUUUGCUAUGUGCUAAUCUUGCAAUUUGUUGCCAUGUGCUAUGUUUGGUAUCUAAAUUGCUAUAAAAGACGUUUUUGCUAUGUAUACAUGUUGAAAUAUAUUUGAUAUGAUGUAUGUUGACAUUUGUUCUGUUCAUUACGACAUGUCAAAGAUUCAUCGAUCAAAACUUCAACAGUUCUGAGGCGCCGCAGUGAAGCUAGACAACAAUGCAUGUGCUUUACAAAUUCAGCAUGUGAAAUGAAUGCAUGUAACUCAAUGCUAUCAAUGUGUAUUAUGUAAAUUAAAGGUGUAUGCUGCAAUUUGGAUAUUUGAAUUCGUGUAAAAUGUGAUACAUAAAAUUAUCUAUUUAAUGCAUAACUUUUCUAUUGAUAUAUGAAUUAAAUGUGCAAACGCUACCACGGCAACAAAUACACCGUCGUGUCAUUUCUUUUUGCCCAAAACAAAGUACUAGUGGUGCGCGAAAAUACAAGCACAUCACUGAUACCCCAAAAUACUAGCGCUAUGCCAUUAGUAUUCUACAAUAUUGUCAUGUGAAAGGACCAGGCACGACACUGCAUGCAACUAGUAAGUUACUCGCUUGUCGCUAGUAAUCACUUACCAACGACACGAUAGUAGUAGUGUGCCAGCCGAACGCCGCUAGUAUGCACAUGCACAAGCUGCUAAUAAGGCGGUCAUGUACGUUGGCGGUGGGAGCCACGAUGCUCAUGGGCGAAUCCAUCAACCCACCUCCAACGCCGAUACUCCACCGCGGCAUGCCGCUGAGACCCACCGUUUCUGAUGCGGUAGAUGCAACGCCGCUCCACCUCUUGGCCCCUCCAGUCAGUACCUACUCCAAAACAGUGCCCCCAGGAGAGAGAAUGACACAAGUCUUUGUCAUCAUCCGAUCAGGGAGACCCAGAUCUAGGGUUUCCCCCGGAGCAGAUGCCUCCUGGAGGAAGAAGGGCAUGCCAUCUGCAGGUUCCAACGAACCCAAAUGGUGCCCACCCGCACAAUGAGUCAUUUUCUUGGAGUUGUGUUGUUGUUCUUCAGCAUCCUUGUAUAAUGCCUUGUGCGUGUGUGUUGCGGUAUCGUGUUGUAUUGUGUAGUAUGUGCUGAAUUGUAUUAUUUAUAUAUAAAAUGGAGUGGGAGUCUUUUUGAUAAACAAUAAGAUCAAUUGCCUCACUUGAAACUUGAAAGUGCAUUUUUUUUAUUUUGACAACGGAAGUCAGGGCCAAUGCCGACCUCAUGCGCAGGAAAAGGGACAGGCACACGUACAUCCCAUCUGUAGCCAAGCUUUUUUGUUCUUUUGGACUAGUAGAAAAAGGCCCAUUAGUCCCGGUUCUAGAGGGCCUUUAGUCCCAGUUCUGGAACCGGGACUAAAGGGUCGGUACUAAAGGCCUCCUCCCUUUAGUCCCGGUUCUUAUACGAACCGGGACUAAAGGCCCUCCACGUGGCCGCUGUCUGGAGCUCUACGGAUGAGGGCUGAUUAGAGAUUAGAGGAAAUUUUACGAAUAUAUUUUUUUUGAAUUUUUUUAAAUCCCAAUUUUCAAAUUUGUGUAUUAUUUUACAAUUUAAUCUCUAAUCACCCCUCAUCAGUGCUCAAUUUAACCUCUAAUCUCUAAUCAGCCCUCGUCAUUCCAAAUCUCUAACUUCCCGGCCGGUCACCCAUCCUCUCACUACUCCAGCCUGAGCACGCUUAACUUCCGAGUUCUAUUCCCCCUCGUUUCCAAGUCUGCACUUGUUGUUUUCCUGACAGUAGUAAGAUGUCAAUCCUAUUAACCCUUUGGAGUUUAGCUUGAGCAUGAAGUCACACAUUUCACUGUUUGAGUUUGAAACUAUUAUUUAAAAAACAGUAAUUAUUUAGUAACAUUAAUAUAUCUUGAAUAAGUAGUUUGACCAUUGUUUGACCAUUGUUUGACCAGAUUUGACCAAAUUCAAAAAAACUGAAAUAAUUAUUUAGUAACACUAAUAUUCUUGAAUAAUUAUUUAGUAACACUAAUACAUCUUGAAUAAGUAGUUUGACCAUUGUUUGACCACAGUUUGACCAGAUUUAUCCAAAAUUCAAAAAAAUGAAAUUUGAGCGUAUCUUUUUUUCCUUUAAGAAUUUGAGGAUUCUAAAAAAUUGCAAACAGGCCUUUGUGCUGAACAUUUUGAUAUAUUAUACAUUUUUUCUGACAUCGUAUGCAAAAGUUAUAGCCGUUUUACUUUUUCCCAACACUUUUUGCAAAACAUGUCCAAAUUUAAGUUUUUAAAUUUUCCUAACUAGUAGAUGUAGUAGUAUAACUACAUCUCGAAGGAUUUUAUUUUUUUAAGUUUUUAUCAUUUUCUUUUGUUUUUUUCAAAACUGAAAUGGCGAUGGGGGGGUAGAGUUUGAGACACGAACCCCAUUAGUCCCGGUUUAAGACUCGAACCGGGACUAAAGGGCAUCGCACCCUUUAGUCCCGGUUCGUGUCUCAAACCGGGACUAAAGGUCUAAUCUUUAGUUCCGGUUUGAGAGACGAACUGGGACUAAAGGGCAUCGCACCCUUUAGUCCCGGUUCGUGUAUCAAACCGGGACUAAAGGUCUCAUUUGAACGGGGACGAAUGCCUUUAGCGGCUCAAUCCGGGACUAAUGCUCACAUUAGUCCCGGUUCGUAAUGCAACCGGGACUAAUGUGUAUAUUGAGCUAUGACCAAUACCCUGUUUUCUACUAGUGUUGGUUGCUUUUUUGUUCUUUUGGUUGCUUGUUGAUUGCUUGUUCAUCCGAUUUCUUGCUUAGAUCGGUCUGCUCUCUAUUUUCAAACAGUUUCGGUCUGGGCCUAUUUUUUCAAUUGGAUAAUUCUAGUGCACUAACUUAUCAAAUCGAAAUAAAUGAGUUUAUUAUCUUUUGUUUCCCUUUUUCUAGGAACCUAUUUGUUGGCAUUCGAUAGGACAUAUGUUUUGAGAAACAUCACUGUGGGGGGGGGGGGAAGCGCCUCUGUCGCCCUGGCAUCCAGCAGUGGUCAUCCAUCACCGUACAUAGGUCACGCGUUUGUAGCAUAACCUGAGUCUCCGUAGUUUGUCCGGCUCAACAUAUUGGCCAUUGUGUUGAUCCCCAAAUUCGCGCACAACAUGCUGCAUGAUUGGUUCACGGAGGUUCACCUCCUUGCCAUUGGAGAUCGUUGCAUGUGGUGCACCUUUCUUUGGACUGUCCGACAUCUUCACAUGGCCAAGAGCACGUGGGAUAUUGAAUGUUUGUCAGCGACCCAAGAGUACUCACGCAAUUAGCUGGACACAUCAGAGGUUUUACACAAUUGCAAACAUAGAGCACGCAUGGCAUUUUUGAUGCCAUGAAAACUUGCUACAGAUUUUUUAUUUGGAAUACACAGAGAAAGAAAGGUCGUUGCACGACCGACCUAAACACACACCACGUUCCUAAUGACUCGUACCAUCCCACGGAUCAGAUCGUGCGUGCAUGAUCUACGGCUCCAUGAUUAUCACGUGUGCUCCGAUGUGCCAUGUCAUCCCAUGACUCGGUUCACGACGCGGUAGAAAUGGGAGCAGCCCCAACCAGACACAUGGACUCGACGCAAACAUGCUUGCCGUCGAGACCGACUCUCAGCGCACACCGCGUGCUUGCAGGCAGCUCUAUGGUGCGUUAUUUAGAACAAAAAGAUUGAAGGAAAAAAACCUAGGGCAUGGAUCAGCCCUCGAUCCACAAAAACUGACAUUGCAAAGUUGUCUUAGUGGAUCUCGUCACUCUCCAAGUCAAUCUCGUCGUUCUCCGAGUCGGAUAAGUGGUUGUCCACCUGCUCGUGCCUAGCCUGCCAUGCCGUCAACCAAAAACACCACAUCCAGAUUCCGUUACAUUCAAUCAUCACCCAGGCAGAAAAAACUAAAAUCCUUGGAAAAAUUAAAAGGUGAUCGAGUUCAUACCCUCCUCAUCUGGGCACGGCGGUACUUGAACAAGAGUUUGAUACGCUGGGGCUCCACACGAAGCUCGCGACCGAGAUGAGCGCGUUGGGUCUCAUCAGGGUUGGGGCACUCCUUGAAAACACCGCAGUUUUCAGAAAAAAGAAGAUGAAAACCUUGAAUACUGUGCACAUGGAUCACCAUGAAAAUAUGACAGGAAAAAUAAGCUGUAGGAAUGGUGCUUGAUCAACCUCUCGAGGAUCUGAAUUUUGUUAGGAGAAUAAGACGUGGCUAGCGCGUGCGUGCGGAUGCCAGACGAGCCGGGCAUAGUCAGGGCCGUAGAUGCGUGAGUGUGUGUGUGUAGCAGCACGUGUACGUGCGCGUGUGUGAGCUGGUUGGCGAGGAGCCAGGAAGUGUGACCGCGUCGCCCGGGAUGGGAGUGGCCGCUUCGUCCGCGUAGGAGCGCGGCGGGUGCGCGAGCCAGGAUCCGCGGGACGUGGCGAGUGGGUUGAGUGGGCACGGCCUCGCGUAUGUGCACAGGCGUAUAAGGCUUCCCCACCCCUGUGUAUUGCCAAGGCAGCUGGACUGAGUUCGUGCUCAGGAGAAAAGUGAACGCCGUUAGCGCGGCGGGUGGCGUACCGCGUACGUGCGCCGAAAAACACUUGUGUCCCUGUGUCCUUCUUCUUCCUCCAGUCUUCUUCUUCCUUGAGUGGAGAGAGAGAGAGGUAGUGCUCCGGUGAGUGAGGGAGGAGGGCGCGGCAACAACAAAUGGUAUACAGAGCUUCGGUUCGGGCGAUCACCGGCGACCAUGGCGCUCGUCCCUCACGGCGGUGGCGCGGGCGGAUCGGCGUCGAUGGCGAUGCCGAUGCUCACGGUGGACAACUACACCGUCUGGGCGAUCAAGGUGCAGGCCAUCCUCGAUGUGCACACCGUGUGGGAGGCGGUGGUGCCGGGCGAUGCGGCGGUGAACGCGCGGAAGGACAAGACGGCGCGCGCGUUGCUGCUCGGAGCGCUGCCGGAGGACGUGUUGCUGCAGGUGUUUACGAAGCUUACCGCCAGGGAGGUAUGGGACUCCCUGAAGGUGAGGUUCGUCGGCGCCGAUCGGGUCCGCGCGGCGAGGCUGGCGACGCUGCGCGGCGAAUUCGACCGCCUGAAGAUGGCGGACAGCGAGGAGCUCGACGUAUAAGGCGGGAGGCUCGCGGCGAUGGCGGCGAGGUAUGCCAACCUCGGGGAGACGCUGGGCAACGCGGCGCUCGUCAAGAAGCAGCUGGAUACGGUGCCGGAUCGUGUGACACCCAAAAAAUUUGACCUUGUUUUAUUUAUUAAAAUAUUGCCAGGAAAUAAAACUUUUCCAUUUUGUCAAGAUUUACCCUUUGUGAUUUUUGAUUUUUGCCUCUAGUGGAAAAACCCUUCAAAGAGUAUUGUUGGACUUGAAUACUCUCUUUAAUAGAACAAUUCUUUAUCAGUGGAUUUACAUUUGCUAGAUUUGUUUUCUCAAAGCCUUAUUCUUUUAAAAAUGAUUUCUUUUGAAUUUGGAGCCUGUUUUGCACUACAACCAUUUGACAAAUGCAUUUAAAAUUUCCACCAAAAUUUGGGGAUGUCAUGUGAUGUUUCCACAUCACUUUUAUGCAAAAAUACCUUUUGGCCAUUGGAGAUUUUGAGCUCUACACUAACUUUUCCAAUCUGGUCCAGUAGGCACUUUUGCACUACAACCCAUUUAAAUGUUUCUUUAAAAAUUCUUCCAAGUGUUUGGAGAUGUCAGUGGAUGCAUACAAUUCAUCUUCAUGCAAAAACCCAGUGAUGUUCUUUGAAAAAUUUGAGUGAAUCAUCUUCAUUUCUAUUCUGGUCUAGUUUGGUGAUUUGUACUGCAACCCCAUUUGAUUUUGCUCUAGUACCUUUGAGCUUUUUCCUACCUAUAGUCCUCCCAACCAAACUCUUAAGUCCAGGAGAUUGGACCCAUUGGAGUAUUUUUGGUGCAUGCAAUGUCAGCCUUUAGUUUCUGCCCAAAACUGGUUUUCUCAAAAUCUUGCACUAUCAAGUUUUUGUUUUUGCCAAACUAGCCUUACCACCUUCUUUAGCUCCUAAAGAGACUAGGAUCUGGAGAGUUUGGCCACCCCAAGAAUUGCCUAGUUGCCCAUGGCAUUCUGUCGAACACCCUGUGUGCAGGAACAAGUUUGGCAUGUCCUCUGGUUUGCAUUGUGGACUUGAGCCCCUGACCCAUCCAGCAUGUCCACUAACCUCCCAGAUGUCCCUAACCCUGGCCUGUUGACUGCCAGCCUCACCCAAGCUCCCUAGCGCGCGCUGGCAUUUCGUCGAACACCUGCUGUGCGUGCUCUUGGCGCGGCCAGAGCGCGCGUUUUGCACGUGCGUGCGCUUGGGUCGACGCGUCCCGUCACUGGACCCAGCUCGCCUGCAGAGCCGCGCCACACACUCGCCCUCUCACCAGUAUGCUCCAAGCCGCACUGGCGCCCUACAGCGCCGCCGCCAGAGCUCCCUUGGCGGCACGCCGGCGUCGGCAGCGGGCUCUGCCAUGGACGGCGCCGCCCAAGCCACCCGCGCACGCCAGCUGCCCCAGGGAACAGCCCGUGCUUAUCCUCAUGCUCGUCGGCACGCGUUCGUCGCCGCCACGACACCCUGCAGCUACAGCAAUGGCGACCCGUCGUCGAUCUUAUCCACCGCCGCGGAGCCAGCCCCGUCGUGCUAUAAAAGGAGGCCCCGUGCUCCUCCGAGCACUCAGGCAACCCCAGUCCACCCCCGUAGUGCUCCCGCAGCCAGCAAUCGUCGGGGAAAGUCCUUUCUUCCUCGUCUCCGGCCAGCUCGGUCGCCGCCGCAAUCCAGUGCCAUUCGUCGCAACCGGAGCUUCCCCCGCCAAUCCAACGCCACCAAGAGUUUCCCCAUAGUCGUACGGAGUUGCCUAGCGCCUCGGCCUCGACCAAGGACCCCUGGAGCCCAAAACCCACUCUGCUCCCGAACCAUCGUCCGCCGUGAAGCUCGCCGCCGGUGACCUCCUCCGUCCCCGCCUGCCUAGCACCCACCGGGAGAACCGCCUCGGUCUGACAGAUCCAUCCCUGCCCUCGGGACCCCGUGGGGAGCUGCCGUUCGCCGACGGCGAUCGCCGGAGCCCCGCCCCGUUCGGGCAGAGAGAAAGGAGGGAGAGGAAGAACGGUCAAACCUGACCAGUGGGCCCCCCGGAUCCACUGUCAGUGACCCGCGCGGCCGUUCUCUCUGUUUAAGUGAAGACGCAGACGUUCUGAGUACCUUUCCUCUGCUGCGAAAGCGUAUUCCCCUCGAAACGUUUUCUUUUCUGGUUUUAUUUUAAAAACAGAGUUUUGACCAGACUUUGACCAGCUAUAACUUUUAAAAUAAAACUCCAAAUGAGUUGAUUCUUUUUCCUACCUCUUUCAAAUAUCAUCUAGUUUAUUUUAAGAUUUAUUUCAAAAAUAUUUGAGACAACUUUUUGUACUGUGUUUGAAAUAUUUGUUAUUUGGAUAUUUUGCAAAAUAGGGAUAAUGGAGAGAAGAAAAAGCUUUCAAAAAGUGCAUCCUUUGCAUACUCUUGAAGGCAAGCAUUUCUGAACUCUGGCAUAAUAUUUUGUUGUGGUGUUUUGAUACGAUUACAACACCAUUUGACUUGGAGUAUGCGUUAUCUUUAUGUAACGAUAAAGUCUUGUGUAUGAGUACUUUUUGGGAGAUAUUUUGCGGUCAGCAAUGGACCCGCUAGUGUUUUGGAUCAUCCUCGUGAGCUCCUCAUGCAUACUGGAAGGAAGCCGGGAAAGUCGUGGUCUUGGGUAGACACAAGCUUGUCCCUAGUCCCUCGUCGAGACGAGUAUGUCCGGUAUGGCAUGGUGAGGCUUGAUGAGUGAUGAUUUACUCCGCUAAUGGUAAUAUUGUUGGAGGAUACUUGGACCACCUGAGUCGGUCGUAGGUCGAGUCUUGGUCAGUAGCUUCCCUAUUUGUUGGUACCACCACUUGUCCCUGUCGCAGACAGGGUAUGGUUCAGUAAGUUGUCAACCCCUUACCAAAGCACACACCGUACAGAGAGGCCAUAGUGGAAGAUACCGGAGGCCUCCGGUAGGCAUGCCACUUGGUCCGGGGGCAUGGGUGUUUCCGGUUGGGACCGAGAGGGGGGCACCCCUUAGAGCGCGCGUAUAGAAGUUUGAUCCCAUGCUACGUCGAGGUUGUAGCCUCCCCACUUGGAGUUUCGCUUGGCAGGUGUCGUGGGUGAUUCCAGACAUCGGUGAGUUAAGCUGGUGUGUGCAGGUCAGGCGUGUUUUCAAUUAAAAGGCCGUAGGCGGAAUUAGUCCCGAUGGACUAAGUAAAUCCGUUACUCGUGGGAAAAUAGUACUCCCUCUGCAGAGGAUAUAUCCUGUUGGAUAGCCAUGAUCUUGAGUAAGGACCACAGUUUGAGUUAAAUCUUGUAACGGUUUUCGGAUGGAGACACGGCUAACUGGAUCAUAGUAACGGUAUUCGGAUGGAGAACGAAUCAGCUAGAACUCAGUGACGGUCUUCGGAUGGAGAAACGGCUGGACGAGAUUUUUGUUUAUGACCUGUGACAUCUGGGGAUCGUGUUUUAAUUUUGUUAUUAUUGUGGACUAACCAUUUACAUUAUGUAUUUUAUUGAGUAUCCCUGGGAUGGUUCUACCUCCUGGAUACUCACUGUGUUUAUUCUUUUAUAAGCCCUUUAUGUGGUGUCGCUCAGACGCCCGACUGCGGCAUGCUUGUUGUUUAUUUAUCUUUUAUAAGCCCUUUAUGUGGUGUCGCUCAGACGCCCGACUGCGGCAUGCUUGUUGUUUAUUUAUCUUUUAUAAGCCCUUUAUGUGGUGUCGCUCAAACGCCCGACUGCGGCAUGCUUCUUGUUUAUUUAUCUUUUAUAAGCCCUUUAUGUGGUGUCGCUCAGACGCCCGACUGCGGCAUGGCUACUCUUGCAUUUUCCUCUCGAGGAGUCAUUCAGACACUCGCUUGGCCCUUAGUAUUUUACUUUGGGAUUUCGGGAGGACUACAGCCCGACUUCUCUUUUGUUCCCCAUGCAUCAUUUGUCUGAUUGCACUCGUUAAUCUGUUCUCAUGCAUCGCGUUUACAUUUGUUAUAUCUUAUGUUCGAACUACCUUGCGAGUACUUUCUUAGUACUCACCCACGUACUGCAUGUUCAUAUUAUCUCCGCAUGCGAGCAACGCAGACUUUCGCGGCAGACGAUGUGAUCAUAAUUUUUUUUUUGGAGCAGGAUUGUCCCUUAUUAUAUUAUACCCGUGUUCUUAAUGUUUGCGAGUACAUUCAAACGUACUCACUGGCUUGUCCCUGGCUAUUGUCUUGGCCAGAUUUUCGCGCAUGGAGAUAAGCAUCGCGGUGACAACCUCGGAGCCUACGUGUUGACGAUAGCAGCCUCGCGAAGAUAGGAGUUAUCCUGGUCAGCUGUUCUUGUGGGAAAUGAAGUCCCAUAAACGCAGAUGUACCCAACCGCUUCCGCCCUCAACCAUUAGAAACCAAGUGUUGUACUCCUAGGCCUCAAUGGUCUUGUACUAUAUAUUUUUGUACCUUGCUUGGAAUUCUUGUAUCAAGUUGGUGCCUCAUCAGCUAACAGUAAUCCUGGGGCUGGUGAACACAAAGGCCGUUUUUCUGGGAAAUUAUUAUCCCAAAAAUCCGGUCGUGACAGACUUGGUAUCAGAGCCAGGCUGACCAUUGGCUAAUCCUAUCUUAGCCAGGUCAAUAAACUUAGGUUAACCAAACCACCAGACCUUAGCCUAACCCCGGUCUAGCUUCCCGCGUAAGAUAGCCCCACAGUGACCCGACGCCUUUCGGCGGACGGUGCCCAACCUAUCAGCCUAGCCCGUCGAUCGCGCGCUAGUGACCGACGCCCAACCCGUCUCCAUCGCAAGCGUGCGGAGGAAGACUCCGUCCCCUUUUCCUAUAAAAAGGGCACGCUAGCCUCAGCACAAGACAGCCUCUUUCCCCCCAAAACCAAGCCACGAUGCCUGGUCGCAUCGUUCACAAUGAGACCACGGCAACCAACCUGGGAGGUUUUGUGACCAUGCUCGCAAACCUCACCCGCCGUGCCUAUGCGUUAGAAGAGCCUCCUGAGUAUGUUGUGUACCAGGGACCCAUGUACGGUGAAAGCCGUCAGUAUUGGGCCACUGUGCACAUCUACGGUAGGGGUCUAUCGCCAGAACGCCCCUACAGGUUCACUGGAAGAACAACUUCCUUUGAGCCACAAGCCAUCCAACUAGCAGCCCGAGAAGCUAUAGUUCAACUCCGGCACUUGUCGCCCAGAGUUAACUUUCGCUCGUUCUACUACUACCCCAGUCGUGACGGGUAUGGUAGGCCGCCCCAGGUUGCCAACGGAGACCACGAGACAGAUCCUGCGCUGUUGCAUCUGGUGCGCUAUGUAAGCGCACUACAGCAACUGUUCGAUCAGGUCACCCUUUAUCUGAUCGCAGCUCAUGGAGAACUGGUUCGCCGAGCCCCGGCGAGAAGAGAAGCGGAGCCCGACGCCGACAACCCAGUCGUGCUGUUCGGACACCCGAUCGAUCCCUUGAGGUCUGCGCCAGCCAUCAACCAGAGUACUUUGGUGUCACCAGAAGCGCUUCGUCGCCUUUUGGGAACCCAUUCCAACGGGAUUGUGGCCAACAACCCCCGCGAUGGUCAUCACCACUACCCCGACCCUGCAGUCCCUCAACCUCAACCAGCAAAUCCCGACGGCGAAACCCGUGGAGAAACCUCGGCAUCCGCCAGGCCAGCCCACUUAGAUAUUAACGAAGUAGACAAAGUCGCUCGAGUUGUAUCGAGCCUUAGUUUUCCCACGCUUUGUAAUGGUGUAAUCUUGUGUCGCUUUUAUUUAAUGCUGUCUGCUUGAACGCUCCUAUUUUUGGAGUAGUAACUAUGCAUGUGUAUGUUAGCGUACAGUUGCAUUUUUAAAAUUCAGGCGCAGCUACCAAGACCAACCCCGACGGCACCCACAGUAAUGCGUCACAUUUAUAUGAUAGGUAUAUCUGUGGCUUUGACCCGAGAACAGGAUCGACAACCAGUUACCCUUCACCCCGGUAGAUAACCCAGCCCCGGUGCUAUAUAAAGGCCACCUCGUGACCUUGCCGAGUGCCCCUCGCCUUUGGGCGCAGCACUCACAGCCAUUCCUUGCCAUGCCGACCCCUAGUAUUUAUCUGAGAACCCCAGACGCAACCCCAGGCAGUUUGUUAAAUUAUUGUGGGACUUUACCUGCAGUACCAUGAGUGCCACCCGUCCACCCCAGUACGAGUUGCUCAAGUCGAGGAUCACCCCUUCCACCUCAAAAUAUUGGGCAGUGGUGCACAUCCCUCCCGCAUACCCAAACCAAGACCUAACGGAAGUCUCCUUCGUGAGGAAAUCCAUGCCGACUCCGCAUAUGGCUAUAGAAGCUGCUGCAUACGAGGCGCUCACUCGUCUUCGAUUCGCGGUACCCUAUGCCAGCGAGCGAGGAUACUAUUAUUUUCCGAGUCGUGCAGCACCCGGAGAAGUUGCAUCUUUUCCCGGUGAACGAAUUGAGAGAGAUCCAGUACGGGCCAACCUUGCCCAGUACGUUAUCGCUCAGGAGCGUUUAACUCAGCGGGUAAUGGGUUAUCUCCAGAGCCUCGCUGAUUUAAAUCCUCGGAUCGCUAUUGGCAGACCACUGAGGCCUGACCAAGAAGGGCGCAUUCAUCGACUGGUCAACCCGCUUCCCCCGAUAGAAGAGGAGUGUGCCCCAGUACCAGAGGCGUUUUCUCAGGACCCUAUCUUUUUGCCGUUUUCCUUGUAAUCAUCUCCGCUGUAUUUAUUAUCCCAGUAUUUAAUUUACGUACUGUAAUUUGUGCGAUGGAUCCGAUUGCGAUAUCAUUUAUGCAAUUUUACUGCUAUUAUUUUUGUUUUAACAAAUUUUCACUCGCAAUGUUUUCUUUCCCCGAGUUACUACAGCGUAUGUAUCUCUCCGACAUAGAUUUUAUUCGCGCAGCACCGUAACGGCAGACUCACAGCUACAACCACUCGACCCCGUGCACUAAUUACAAACUCUCGUUCCCUUUUUUUGCGCCUACUGAUCACACCCGAGGACACCACAGUCUCAUUCAGAGAGAUUUGUGAGUGAUCGUUCGGGCGCGAGCUGCCCCAGCACACCAACAGCAGUCAGCCCCGAUGCCGCGCCUAAUCCGCGUGAUCGCCGCCGCCGCGAAGAGCUAACACUCGAGCGGCAGCAUCACGACGAUCAUCCAGGAUCAUCGCGCACAGGAGCACGGAGAACCCCAGCAGCACUGCCAAGCCUCCACACACCAGGACCACAUACCAGUCCGGCAUUGCCUCCGCCAUUAGAGCCUCGGCUCGAGCUCCUGCUAGCAGCAAUGAAGAGGAAGGAAGGAGAAGUAGAAGCGAGGCCAGGUGUGAGGAAGAAGAGAGGAGCACCGCGAUCAUUUUAUAGCCCGAGAUCGGUGUACGGUGGGCGAGGUCCACCAGCGCCACUCGUCGCUCGACCGCCGGUGUUCGGAGGCGAGCCCGCGAGCAGUGCCGACAGCGCACUAGCCCACGAGGUGAGUGCACACUGCACCGGCAGCUAGCACGCCGCGCACUACCACGGUACGGCCUCGAUGCCCUACGAGCUAGGCAUCGCCGGUGGAGGAAGCGCGGGAGAGCACGCGAGAGAGAAGAGAGAGCCAGAGGUAGGAGAAGAGGCCGACAGUGGGCCCUGGGUCCACCUGUCAGUCAAAGAGAGCACUGUGCUCUCGGGUGCGACCAGCGUACUUUGGUAAUUUAGAAUUUAUUCUAAAUUACUGUAUCUGCGUAGAAAUAUCUCGUUUUCCCUAACCGUGGAUUUUUCCACACUACGCCAGUGUACCACACUGUGGUUUUACGCCACUUAUUGCCCUCUCACUGUAGCCGUUUUGUUUUUGUGCAAUUGAAUGAUUUCUUUUGAUAAAAACAGUUUUUGUUCAAAACAGCUUUUAACAAAUCUCGAGGACGAGAUUUUUCUUAAGGGGGGUAGUGUUGUGACACCCAAAAAUUUUGACCUUGUUUUAUUUAUUAAAAUGUUGCCAGGAAAUAAAACUUUUCCAUUUUGUCAAGAUUUACCCUUUGUGAUUUUGGAUUUUUGCCUCUAGUGGAAAAACCCUUCAAAGAGUAUUGUUGGACUUGAAUACUCUCUUUAAUAGAACAAUUCUUUAUCAGUGGAUUUACAUUUGCUAGAUUUGUUUUCUCAAAGCCUUAUUCUUUUAAAAAUGAUUUCUUUUGAAUUUGGAGCCUGUUUUGCACUACAACCAUUUGACAAAUGCAUUUAAAAUUUCCACCAAAAUUUGGGGAUGUCAUGUGAUGUUUCCACAUCACUUUUAUGCAAAAAUACCUUUUGGCCAUUGGAGAUUUUGAGCUCUACACUAACUUUUCCAAUCUGGUCCAGUAGGCACUUUUGCACUACAACCCAUUUAAAUGUUUCUUUAAAAAUUCUUCCAAGUGUUUGGAGAUGUCAGUGGAUGCAUACAAUUCAUCUUCAUGCAAAAACCCAGUGAUGUUCUUUGAAAAAUUUGAGUGAAUCAUCUUCAUUUCUAUUCUGGUCCAGUUUGGUGAUUUGUACUGCAACCCCAUUUGAUUUUGCUCUAGUACCUUUGAGCUUUUUCCUACCUAUAGUCCUCCCUACCAAACUCUUAAGUCCAGGAGAUUGGACCCAUUGGAGUAUUUUUGGUGCAUGCAAUGUCAGCCUUUAGUUUCUGCCCAAAACUGGUUUUCUCAAAAUCUUGCACUAUCAAGUUUCUGUUUUUGCCAAAUUAGCCUUACCACCUUCUUUAGCUCCUAAAGAGACUAGGAUCUGGAGAGUUUGGCCACCCCAAGAAUUUCCUAGUUGCCCAUGGCAUUCUGUCGAACACCCUGUGUGUAGGAACAAGUUUGGCAUGUCCUCUGGUUUGCAUUGUGGACUUGAGCCCCUGACCCAUCCAGCAUGUCCACUAACCUCCCAGAUGUCCCUAACCUUGGCCUGUUGACUGCCAGCCUCACCCAAGCUCCCUAGCGCGCGCUGGCAUUUCGUCGAACACCUGCUGUGCGUGCUCUGGGCGCGGCUAGAGCGCGCGUUUUGCACGUGCGUGCGCUCGGGUCGACGCGUCCCGUCACUGGACCCAGCUCGCCUGCAGAGCCGCGCCACACACUCGCCCUCUCACCAGUACGCUCCAAGCCGCACUGGCGCCCUAUAGCGCCGCCGCCAGAGCUCCCUUGGCGGCACGCCGGCGUCGGCAGCGGGCUCUGCCGUGGACGGCGCCGCCCAAGCCACCCGCGCACGCCAGCUGCCCCAGGGAACAGCCCGUGCUUAUCCUCAUGCUCGUCGGCACGUGUUCGUCGCCGCCACAACGCCCUGCAGCUACAGCAACGGCGACCCGUCGUCGAUCUUAUCCACCGCCGCGGAGCCAGCCCCGUCGUGCUAUAAAAGGAGGCCCCGUGCUCCUCCGAGCACUCAGGCAACCCCAGUCCACCCCCGUAGUGCUCCCGCAGCCAGCAAUCGUCGGGGAAAGUCCUUUCUUCCUCGUCUCCGGCCAGCUCGGUCGCCGCCGCAAUCCAGUGCCAUUCGUCGCAACCGGAGCUUCCCCUGCCAAUCCAACGCCACCAAGAGUUCCCCAUAGUCGUACGGAGCUGCCUAGCGCCUCGGCCUCGACCAAGGACCCCUGGAGCCCAAAACCCACUCUGCUCCCGAACCAUCGUCCGCCGCGAAGCUCGCCGCCGGUGACCUCCUCCGUCCCCGCCUGCCUAGCACCCACCGGGAGAACCGCCUCGGUCUGACGGAUCCAUCCCUGCCCUCGGGACCCCGUGGGGAGCUACCGUUCGCCGACGGCGAUCGCCGGAGCCCCGCCCCGUUCGGGCAGAGAGAAAGGAGGGAGAGGAAGAACGGUCAAACCUGACCAGUGGGCCCCCCGGACCCACUGUCAGUGACCCGCGCGGCCGUUCUCUCUGUUUAAGUGAAGACGCAGACGUUCUGAGUACCUUUCCUCUGCUGCGAAAGCGUAUUCCCCUCGAAACGUUUUCUUUUCUGGUUUUAUUUUAAAAACAGAGUUUUGACCAAACUUUGACCAGCUAUAACUUUUAAAAUAAAACUCCAAAUGAGUUGAUUCUUUUUCCUACCUCUUUCAAAUAUCAUCUAGUUUAUUUUAAGAUUUAUUUAAAAAAUAUUAGAAACAACUUUUUGUACUGUGUUUGAAAUAUUUGUUAUUUGGAUAUUUUGCAAAAUAGGGAUAAUGGAGAGAAGAAAAAGCUUUCAAAAAGUGCAUCCUUUGCAUACUCUUGAAGGCAAGCAUUUCUGAACUCUGGCAUAAUAUUUUGUUGUGGUGUUUUGAUACGAUUACAACACCAUUUGACUUGGAGUAUGCGUUAUCUUUAUGUAACGAUAAAGUCUUGUGUAUGAGUACUUUUUGGGAGAUAUUUUGCGGUCAGCAAUGGACCCGCUAGUGUUUUGGAUCAUCCUCGUGAGCUCCUCAUGCAUACUGGAAGGAAGCCGGGAAAGUCGUGGUCUUGGGUAGACACGAGCUUGUCCCUAGUCCCUCGUCGAGACGAGUAUGUCCGGUAUGGCAUGGUGAGGCUUGAUGAGUGAUGAUUUACUCCGCUAAUGGUAAUAUUGUUGGAGGAUACUUGGACCACCUGAGUCGGUCGUAGGUCGAGUCUUGGUCAGUAGCUUCCCUAUUUGUUGGUACCACCACUUGUCCCUGUCGCAGACAGGGUAUGGUUCAGUAAGUUGUCAACCCCUUACCAAAGCACACACCGUACAGAGAGGCCAUAGUGGAAGAUACCGGAGGCCUCCGGUAGGCAUGCCACUUGGUCCGGGGGCAUGGGUGUUUCCGGUUGGGACCGAGAGGGGGGCACCCCUUAGAGCGCGCGUAUAGAAGUUUGAUCCCAUGCUACGUCGAGGUUGUAGCCUCCCCACUUGGAGUUUCGCUUGGCAGGUGUCGUGGGUGAUUCCAGACAUCGGUGAGUUAAGCUGGUGUGUGCAGGUCAGGCGUGUUUUCAAUUAAAAGGCCGUAGGCGGAAUUAGUCCCGAUGGACUAAGUAAAUCCGUUACUCGUGGGAAAAUAGUACUCCCUCUGCAGAGGAUAUAUCCUGUUGGAUAGCCAUGAUCUUGAGUAAGGACCACAGUUUGAGUUAAAUCUUGUAACGGUUUUCGGAUGGAGACACGGCUAACUGGAUCAUAGUAACGGUAUUCGGAUGGAGAACGAAUCAGCUAGAACUCAGUGACGGUCUUCGGAUGGAGAAACGGCUGGACGAGAUUUUUGUUUAUGACCUGUGACAUCUGGGGAUCGUGUUUUAAUUUUGUUAUUAUUGUGGACUAACCAUUUACAUUAUGUAUUUUAUUGAGUAUCCCUGGGAUGGUUCUACCUCCUGGAUACUCACUGUGUUUAUUCUUUUAUAAGCCCUUUAUGUGGUGUCGCUCAGACGCCCGACUGCGGCAUGCUUGUUGUUUAUUUAUCUUUUAUAAGCCCUUUAUGUGGUGUCGCUCAGACGCCCGACUGCGGCAUGCUUGUUGUUUAUUUAUCUUUUAUAAGCCCUUUAUGUGGUGUCGCUCAGACGCCCGACUGCGGCAUGCUUGUUGUUUAUUUAUCUUUUAUAAGCCCUUUAUGUGGUGACGCUCAGACGCCCGACUGCGGCAUGGCUACUCUUGCAUUUUCCUCUCGAGGAGUCAUUCAGACACUCGCUUGGCCCUCAGUAUUUUACUUCGGGAUUUCGGGAGGACUACAGCCCGACUUCUCUUUUGUUCCCCAUGCAUCAUUUGUCUGAUUGCACUCGUUAAUCUGUUCUCAUGCAUCGCGUUUACAUUUGUUAUAUCUUAUGUUCGAACUACCUUGCGAGUACUUUCUUCGUACUCACCCACGUACUGCAUGUUCAUAUUAUCUCCGCAUGCGAGCAACGCAGACUUUCGCGGUAGACGUUGUGAUCAUAAUUUUUUUUGGAGCAGGAUUGUCCCUUAUUAUAUUAUACCCGUGUUCUUAAUGUUUGCGAGUACAUUCAAACGUACUCACUGGCUUGUCCCGGGCUAUUGUCUUGGCCAGAUUUUCGCGCAUGGAGAUAAGCAUCGCGGUGACAACCUCGGAGCCUACGUGUUGACGAUAGCAGCCUCGUGAAGAUAGGAGUUAUCCUGGUCAGCUGUUCUUGUGGGAAAUGGAGUCUCAUAAACGCAGAUGUACCCAACCGCUUCCGCCCUCAAGCAUUAGAAACCAAGUGUUGUACUCCUAGGCCUCAAUGGUCUUGUACUACAUAUUUUUGUACCUUGCUUGGAAUUCUUGUAUCAAGUUGGUGCCUCAUCAGCUAACAGUAAUCCUGGGGCUGGUGAGCACAAAGGCCGUUUUUCUGGGAAAUUAUUAUCCCAAAAAUCCGGUCGUGACAGAUCGGCUCUUCCCCGUCGUCGCCGGCGUCGAGCAGUUCCACGACGUGACGACGAUGGCGUUCGACGAGGCGCUCGGGCGGCUGCGCGCGUUCGACGAGCGGGUUCGGCGCCCUGGACAAGACGGCGGCGAGCGCGGGGGUGAGCAGCUGCUCAUGACGGCGGCACAGUGUACAGCGCGGGAGCGUCGACACGGCGGUGCUCGGGACGACGACGACGAUGGCAAGAGCGUGGCGUCGAGCAGCGGCGGGGACCUGCGCGGGCGCUACUACAAGUGCGGCGUGCGCGGCCACUUCAAGAGGGACUGCCCCAAGCUGCGGAGGGAGCCGGCGGCGGAGCGCGCGCUGAUGGCGGACGCCGGUGUUGAAGACGGCGGACUCCUCUGAGCCACGGCUUAGGGGGUGAAUGUUAGGAGAAUAAGACGUGGCUAGGCCAUGGCGCGUCGGCCGCGCGUGUGUGCGGAUGCCAGACGAGUCGGGCAUAGUCAAGGCCGUAGAUGCGUGAGUGGGUGUAGCAGCACGUGUACGUGCGCGCGUGUGAGCUGGUUGGCGAGGAGCCAGGAAGUGUGACCGCGUCGCCCGGGAUGGGAGUGGCCGCGUCGUCCGCGUAGGAGCGCGGCGGGUGCGCGAGCCAGCAUCCGCGGGACGUGGCGAGUGGGUUGAGUGGGCACGGCCUGGCGUAUGUGCGCAAGCGUAUAAAGCUCCCCAUCCCUGUGUAUUGCCAAGGCAGCUGGACUGAGUUCGUGCUCAGAGAAAAGUGAACGCCGUUAGUGCGGCGGGUGGCAUACGUGACGCCGGAAAACAUUUGUGUCCCUGUGUCUUUCUUCUUCCUCCAGUUUUCUUCUUCCUUGAGUGCAGAGAGAGAGAGGGGUAGUGCUCCGGUGAGUGAGGGAGGAGGGCGCGGCAACAACAAAUCUGGUUGUCACUUAGAUCCAUUGUUACCAAUUCUCGCUCACUCUCCCAGGCUGGCUAGAGGAGAGGAAUUGGAGGCAGGAAGGUAUCUUCGUACAGGAUGCUGUGCGACCUCUGCCUUGCUCCUAUUUAUACAUGAGAGGGUGGCGUUUCUCCUCUGUCACACUGCUGGCGCAAAAAAGCGCCCGUCUGUGUGACCUCUGGCUUAUUAGCAGUCUCCUGGACUGUCUCUCUUAAUGCCUCCUCCUUUUUGGCUUCUUCCACCCUAUAUUAUUGACCGUCCGUCCCUGUAUUGCUCGGGAGCGCCAGCAGCAGAAACGUUCGCUUUGACUUUUGACCACCUCGUCUCGCUCGCCGGCUGUCUUGAAGGUUUCUCUUUAUGCCUGCUCUGUGCUCUCUCUUGACUUCGUCCCUGGCUUGCUCGGGAGCGCCAGUAGUAGCGUGGUAGUACCAGUAACUAAUGCGAUGUAAGUAGCUUAUACCAACAAAUUCAAAUCAUAGUACAGGUCAAUUGGGUUUAUUGACCUGCCAUGUAGUCCCUCGGUAAAGAAAUAUAAGAGUGUUUAGAUUACUAGUGAUCUAAACACUAUUAUAUUACUCUGCAGAGGGAGUAACAAGCAGUGCAUUCAGAUUUAAACCAUGUAAUAUAUAGUUUCAUUUAGCAGAAUUUGCAAAGCACUUCAAAUCAAACAACUUCAGAGUUUAUGGACCUGCAUCGGUACGAGCCCUACUGGGUUUGGAUGCAACAAACAAAUGCAGAGUGACCUGAAAAUGGCCGGUGACCUGUCUUGAGUUCGUAAUUUCUCCCCUCCCACAAUUACCAUUGUUCCUCUUGUAGAAUGGGAGAUAAUUAAUCCUGAAGUUACGUCCAUGUAUUGGUUGUUAACCAUUAUAAUAAAUUCUGCAAUAUUUUAGCAUGAAAUUGAUAGGCAUUAAUUUCCAGCGUCUUACUUAUGUAUGGAUAUCAAAUUAAUCACUAGUACAGGUGGGUCAUUAUCCUCUAAAUCAUAAUAUUCAAAUUCUAAGUAAGAAAAGAAGCAUAACAAUGACCGACCUAUUAUUGCAAGCCCUAUCAUGUAUCAUAUGGCAAUAUGGUUGCUUCAGUGCACCGUUGCACUCCUUUUACAAUGGAUGCUUUGUGAUAAAACCUCUUCAUCUAGAUGGGAGAUUAUAUUUAGUCUUGUUUUCUUAUUAAACAUGAAACAACACAACGUCAAGAUCUUGAUCCACAAUUCUUAUUCCAUAUAUAUUUAAUUCGAGUGAAAGUUCUGAAGUAACAUGCCUUUCUUAUUUCCUGUCGUUUGUUCCAAAAAUGCGAUAUAUCCUUCAGCCAUAAAACUACAACAACUCAUAAGAACUACAACCAUUUCCCUCUUGCAGAAACUUUUUCUUCCUUCCUCCACAACCAUGAUACCUAGCUACCAUGCAUAUCCAUGAUGAACCCCAACCGCACCAACGCACGCCAUCUAAUCCGGUGGCCUCACGAAGUCGCCGGAUGCGAGCCAAGAGCACCAACCGGCCUAGCAGACCCAUAGCGCAUAUUGCAUGUGCUCGCUCUAGGAUCCCGCGCUGCCAUCUACCGCCGUCCCAUAUUCAAGAGGGAUCCUUGGACUAACCAUGCCAGGCCCAACUGCCGUUGACACCGCCACGACACCAGACAAUGCCACCAUUCUGCGUGCAUCCAUCAACCCACCUCCAACGCCCAUACUCCACCGCACCAUGCUGCCGAGACCCACCGUUUUUUAUGCGGUAGAUGCAACACCGCUCCACCUCUUAGCCCCUCCAGUCAGUACCUACUCCAAAACAGUGCCCCCAGGAGAGAGAAUGACACAAGUCUCCAUCAUCAUCCGAUCUGGGAGACGCAGAUCUAGGGUUUCCCUGGAGCAGAUGCCUCCUGGAGGAAGAAGGGCAAGCCAUCUGCAGUUGCCACCGAAGCCAAAUGGUGCCCACCCGCCUAAUGAACCAUUUUCUUGGAGUUGUGUUGUUGUUCUUCAGCAACCUUGUACAAUGCCUUGUGUGCGUGUGUUGCGGUGUCGUGUCGUGUUGUGUUGUAUGUGCUGAAUUGUCUCAUUUGUAUAUAAAGUGGAGCGGAAGUCUUUUUGAUAUACAAUGAGAUCAAUUGCCCAGUUGAAACUUGAAAGAGCAUUUUUUGAUUUUGACAGCGGAAGUCAGGGCCAAGGCCGACCUCAUGCGCAGGAAAAGGGGCAAGCACACGUACAUCCCACAUGUACCCAAGCUUCUUCCUUCUUUUGGUUGCUUGCUGUUUGCUUGCGCUUAAUCCUACGAGAUUAUCAAUUGUUAAUAUAUUUGCUUGAAUAAUGCAUUAUCAUCUGAUUUCUUGCUUAGAUCGAUGUGCUCUCUAUUUUCAAUCCGUUUUGGUCUGGGCCUAUUUUGCUCAAUUGGAUAAUUUAUGUGCACAAAUUUAGAUCAGUUUAUUCUUCCGUUUCCCUUUUUCUAGGAACCUAUUUGUUGGCGUUCGAUGGGACAUAUGUUUUGAGAAACCUAACCAAAUUAAUUUACCAAAUGCUGACCUUUACUUAAUCAUGUCCCAACCAUUCCUUGUCGUUGGUUUCACGGCAAAAAUNNNNNNNNNNNNNNNNNNNNNNNNNNNNNNNNNNNNNNNNNNNNNNNNNNNNNNNNNNNNNNNNNNNNNNNNNNNNNNNNNNNNNNNNNNNNNNNNNNNNNNNNNNNNNNNNNNNNNNNNNNNNNNNNNNNNNNNNNNNNNNNNNNNNNNNNNNNNNNNNNNNNNNNNNNNNNNNNNNNNNNNNNNNNNNNNNNNNNNNNNNNNNNNNNNNNNNNNNNNNNNNNNNNNNNNNNNNNNNNNNNNNNNNNNNNNNNNNNNNNNNNNNNNNNNNNNNNNNNNNNNNNNNNNNNNNNNNNNNNNNNNNNNNNNNNNNNNNNNNNNNNNNNNNNNNNGCAGUGCUUCGGUUGCCAUGGCAUCCAGCGAUGGUCAUGCCGACGGCCAUCGUCGUACAGAGGGUCACGCGCUUAUUGCCUAACCUAAGUCGUCGUAGUUCGUCCGGGUCAACAUAUCAGCCAUUGCGUUGAUCCCCAAACUCGUGUACAACAUACUGCAUGAUUGGUUCACCGCGGUUGAUCCCCUUGCCAUUGGAGAUCGUUCCAUGCCACGCACCUUUCUUCGGACUGUCCGACAUCUUCACAUGGCCAAGAGCACAUGGAUAUGAUACAGAAUGUUUGUCAGUGACCCAAGAUUACUCACGCAACUAGCUGGACACAUCAGAGGUUAUACACACUAGCAAACCCAAAGCACACAUGGAAUUUGAUGCCCUGAAUACUUGAUACAGAUUUUUUAUUUGGAAUACAGAGAGAAAGGACACCUAAACACACACCACCUUCCUAAUGACUUGUGCCAUCCCAUGAAUCAGAUCAUGCGUGCAUGAUCUACAGCUCCACUAUUAUCGCGUGUGAUCCCAUGUGCCAUGCCAUCCCAUGACUCAUGACGCGGUAGAAACGGGAGCGACCCCAACCUGACACAUGGACUCGAUGCAUGGACUCUGACGCAAACAUGCUUGCCGUCGAGACCGACUCUCAGUGCAUACCAUCUGCUCGUACGCAGGUCUAUGGCACGUUAUUUGGAACAAACAGAUUGAAGGGAAAAAAACCUAGGGCAUUCACUAAGUUUACAUCAAUGGAUCAGCCCUCCAAUCCACAAACCCACAUGGCG
rnacentral:lncRNA from 1 species